CAAGCUCGAAGGAUGCCAUCAA
rnacentral:misc_RNA from 1 species